rnacentral:lncRNA from 1 species
ACUAACACAAAAAUUCAUUGUAAUUUUGUGAAGCAACAGUGCCGAGCGAGUUUCAUCGCCUUGUAGAUUGCCAUAGCUUCAAUCAUCUUCCACGUAGCAGCGGCGAGAGUGUUUCCCUUGUCAAACCCCAGGUACCUUCUUCUGUUAAUUAAAUUUGCAUCGCAGUUAGUUACCUUAGCUUAGUCCACUUAGCUUUUCGCAGUUAAUAUAUAAUCAUCCACCCUAGGCUUAGUCCACUUAGCUUUUCUGUUCUGAUUGUUUUGAUUGUUACAAUGAAUAAAUAUUAGGGGAAACAUUUCCAGAGUUGAAAUUGAUUUUAUCUGCUUGUUUAAAAUCAUGUAUAGUAUGCCAGCCUGUGUUUAUAGUGUAUUCAGCUGUUUGUUUCGAGCAAGCCAAAUGCCAUAAGCAAUCGCAACAAUAUAGCUAAUAAUGUGUUCCUCAUUGUUGUUUGGUUAACAGUUUCCAUGUGAUUGCAACCUCUUGGGAAAAAUAUAGGGCAAUUUAUACUUCUUUUUUCUGAUUUCACUUCUAACAGGGGUAGAUCAUCAUUGAGAAUAAGUCAUAGGAAGGUUUGGUCUGUCGACAUGCAUUUCAUUAGCUUCACAUUGUCUAAGACGGGUUAUAACCAGAUUUUAGUGUACUGCCUAGAUUUUAGUGUACAUCAACAUAAACAGGUUACGCCGACAUCUCUUGCCCAAUUUGGACAUGAUAAUGCUUUUAGUGCUUUCCAUAGACUAUCCAUAACUUAAGUGAAUAAUGCUUUAUCAACUGCUAUCAAUUUUUUUUGUUAACAUUCCGAUUCUUUGAGAUGAGAUCCUGAUACUCUGAAGUUUAAUUGAAAGGUAUAUAAAAUUUGGUCAAAAAUUGCACCACCUAUAAAUUGAACUUAGAUUCUUUCAAACGAAUUGUCUUUUGGUAAAGUUCAUUAACCUAAAUUCUUGCAAAUCUCAUGUCUCCAGCAAGUCUCAACCCAUAACCAAAGUUCAUUAGGUAUUCCAAUUUAGGACGAUUCAUAACCUCUCAAGCUUAAAUUUAGUUUUGUUCAUUGUUUAAUUCAAUUUAUUAUUUUGUUAAAUUUUUUAGUUAUUGUUCCAAUGUUCCCUAUAAAUUGGCAAUUAGGUAAUUGGAAAUUAGAUUAUUAGCUUC